GCACUCUCAUCAGCCAAAAAAACGUCCUAAGGGUUCCUUCAAGCUGGUUUUUCAUAAUUUUUGCACCAAAUCCGGAAAAUUCAAAUACGAAGCAAGAUCGAGGGAAAGAAAAAGUUUGGGAUUAGUAGAUUUUUUGUUACGAACAAGUAUCGAGAGUUAAGAGCUCGGAAGUCGGAUUUGGUCGGAGACACAUCACACUAUCAAUCUCGAGAUCUCGGUACAUAAAGGAACUUUAUUUUGGAAAUCAAUGGCAUGUAUAAGCUAGUAAAUUAGAUGUUAAUGUGAAAUGAAUGUAUGGUUAGCCAUUGGUAUGGCUAACAAAUUUUGGUUUUCGUAUGUGAUGAAAUUAUCUUAUGAAUAUGAUAAAUCUAUCUUGAAAAAAAAUUCCGGUAAAAUCUGGUAAUGCCUCAUACUCUAUUUCGGCGACGAAUACGGGUAGGGGGUAUUACAAUAUCAUUCACAUCAACAUCACUAAUAUGUCUCAUUUUCAACCCAACAUACAUAUAUAAGCAAAAUUAUAAUUAAUUAACAUUUACACAAGACAAACUUUGAUUAAAUCCACACAAACCCUAUACAUGCCAUAUA